rnacentral:rRNA from 1 species
GGGCCCGCACAAGCGGUGGAGUAUGUGGUUUAAUUCGAUGCAACGCGAAGAACCUUACCAGGGUUUGACAUCCUGUGCUACAUUCAGAGAUGAAUGGUUCCCUUCGGGGACGCAGUGACAGGUGCUGCAUGGCUGUCGUCAGCUCGUGUCGUGAGAUGUUCGGUUAAGUCCGGCAACGAGCGCAACCCACAUCCCUAGUUGCCAGCAGUUCGGCUGGGCACUCUAUGGAAACUGCCCGUGAUAAGCGGAGGAAGGUGUGGAUGACGUCAAGUCCUCAUGGCCCUUACCGGGUUGGGUCGUACACACGUGCUACAAUGGCAUCUACAGUGGGUUAAUCCCAAAACGAAUGUCUCAGUUCGGAUUGUCGUCUGCAACUCGACGGCAUGAAGUCGGAAUCGCUAGUAAUCG